rnacentral:lncRNA from 13 species
GAAUCAGAUGCUAGGUGGAUCUGGUGGGAGCGUGUGUGGAGGGCCGCUGUGUCCAGUUAUGCUGGCAGAAAACAGAAAGGUAGUCCGUGCUGAGGAAGAACUAAAGCGCACAGGCCCAGAGCCAGACGGAAGAGGCCCAGAGCCAGACAGAGGAGGCCCCGAGGCAGCAACGGCCCUGGCUCUGGGCUCAGACCCUUCCGUCCACCUCCAGGAGAAUUGAGACUGGUUUGUGAAAAGCUGAAUCCCAAUCAUCCAGCAUGGGGCCUGGAAUACAUUAGGUUGACCCAGAAUGUCUCAGAGAAAAAUCAACUACCCAUGGAGUAGAGCUGGAACGGAGGCACCAGGGGAGACAUGGGAGAUGAGGAGACGGAGUCUUGCUGUGUCACCCAGGCUGGAGUCGGUAGCGCAAUCUCGGCUCCCUGCAAUCUCUACCUCCCAGGUUCAAGUGAUUCUCCUGCCUCAGCCUCCCAAGUAGCUGGAACUGCAGACGCCUGCCACCCACACCAGACUAAUUUUUAUAUUUUUAGUAGAGACUGGGGUCUCACCAUAUUGGCCAGGCUGGUCUUGAACUCCCAACCUCGUGAUCCACCCACCUCAGCCUCCCAAAGUGCUGGGAUUACAGGCGUGAGCCACCGCACCCAGCCAAAAUUUCUUUUAUUUUAAGGAAUUGGCUUACUCACAUGACUGUGGAGGCUGGCAAGUCCCAAAUCUG